UAAAUUCUUUUGAAAAACAUUCGUAUAAUCUUGAUAUAAUAUGGUUCAAGAGUUUCUACCAGAAGGCCAAAACUUCUGACUAUGAGUGGAUUCCGGGAAGAA
rnacentral:ncRNA from 1 species